rnacentral:rRNA from 1 species
UACGUAGGGUGCGAGCGUUAUUCGGAAUUACUGGGCGUAAAGCGUGCGCAGGCUGUUUUGUAAGUCAGAUGUGAAAUCCCCGAGCUCAACUUGGGAACUGCGUUUGAAACUACAAGACUAGAAUAUGUCAGAGGGGGGUAGAAUUCCACGUGUAGCAGUGAAAUGCGUAGAGAUGUGGAGGAAUAUCAAUGGCGAAGGCAGCCCCCUGGGAUAAUAUUGACGCUCAUGCACGAAAGCGUGGGGAGCAAACAGG